UGCAAAAGUGUGUGUGUGUGUGUGUGUGUGUGUGUGUUUGUGUGAUGAAGGGUCAUACAGGAUGGAGAUUGAUAUCAAUAAAUUGUAACAACAGCACCAAAGAUAGGAUGAUAAAUGAAGGUUUUAUUUUCUGGUAAGUGUGUAGGUUACAUGAAAUAUAUGUACAUAUGAAAAUACGCAUGUUUCAUUGCAAAAUAUUUGCAAAAUUAAGCUUGGUAUGCUUAGUUCAUUAAUUAUUUUAGAUUUUAGUUAUGAUUUUCAUUAUUAUUUUUUCUUUCUUUUCAAGUUACAUAUUCCGUCUUACUGCAACAUUGUGUCUUACAGCGGAAAGUGAAAGUAACUCGACCAAGAGAGAAAAGUUUCUUCCACUAGUACCUCCAACAAGGAGCUCGCCCACCAAGUAAUGCAAGCAUGUUCUUCAGAGGAGCCAUAUCCUUUGGCUCCACGCCGAGAAGCAACAGGUGCUGUGGUGGUAAUAAUUUCAUCAAACGUAGACUUCUUCAACGGUCCAUUAUGGAGUUUUAUAAUCAAGAACUGAGCAACACGAUCCCCAAGUUCAACUUGAUAUGGAAGUUUCCCAUGGUUGAUUAGCAUAACCCCCAAAGUUCCUUCAAAAUCUUCAUCGACCACGCCCCCCAUGACGUCAAUUUUAUGCCGCAACGCUAACCCAGACCUUGGUUUAAUCAAACCAACAUGGCCCAACGCAGAUUGAGGGUGCAACUUUGUUGGAAAUUUACUUUCAAAGGUCUUCCUAAUAAAGUGGACCGUUCUAUAGUCAUCUAGAAGG